AUGUUACGGCCAGCAAGAUCUUUGUCACUCGGCAGUUCACGGCAUCACGAUCGGUCAUCACUGUCAAUCUUCCCACCUGCUUCGGUACGAUUCAGUUCUCAGAUUCGCUCAAUCUUUCAAUCUUCUUCAACUCGGAUUUCAUCUCCGCGUUUAAGAUUCACGCCUCUCAGCUUCGCUUUCAAUGCAUCUCAACUUUUGGAUUUCAAAGCCGUGAAUCAAUCCUUCUCCACUGAUUUUUGA